rnacentral:rRNA from 1 species
CCUACGGGAGGCAGCAGUAAGGAAUAUUGGACAAUGGUCGGAAGACUGAUCCAGCCAUGCCGCGUGAAGGACGAAGGCGCUCAGCGUUGUAAACUUCUUUUGGAUGGGGAUAAUAACCUUGAUUUAUCAGGGCUUGAAGGUACCAUCAGAAUAAGCACCGGCUAACUCCGUGCCAGCAGCCGCGGUAAU